rnacentral:rRNA from 1 species
UGGUGGAGUGAUUUGUCUGGUUAAUUCCGUUAACGAACGAGACCUCAACCUGCUAAAUAGACGUGCGAAUUCUUUUGAAUUCGUGGCGUAUACUUCUUAGAGGGACUAUCGGUGUGUAGCCGGUGGAAGUUUGAGGCAAUAACA